UACGGGGGGGGGCAAGCGUUGUUCGGAAUUACUGGGCGUAAAGGGCUCGUAGGCGGCCAACUAAGUCCGACGUGAAAUCCCCAGGCUUAACCUGGGAACUGCGUCGGAUACUGGAUGGCUUGAAUUCGGGAGAGGGAUGCAGAAUUCCAGGUGUAGCGGUGAAAUGCGUAGAUAUCUGGAGGAACACCGGUGGCGAAGGCGGCAUCCUGGACCGACACUGACGCUGAGGAGCGAAAGCCAGGGGAGCAAACGGG
rnacentral:rRNA from 1 species